rnacentral:rRNA from 1 species
UAAACCGCCGCAGUACCUUGACUGUGCUAAGGUAGCAUAAUCAGUUGGCUUUUAAAUGGAGUCGGGAAUGAAUGGAUUAAUAGGGUAAAGCUGUCUCUUUUGUACUAUAUUGAACUUACUUAUUAGGUGAAAAUGCCUAAAUUUAGAAAAAAGACGAGAAGACCCCAGGAGUUUUUACUAAUGGUUAAGCUAGUUUAACUGUUGUUUUUGUUGGGGCGACAAGGGAGAAGAAUAAACCUCCUUUAUUUAUUUGCCGACGUAGUAUGGGAAAUUAAACUACCCUGGGGAUAACAGCGUAAUUCUUAAGAGCUUGCGACCUCGAUGUUGGACUAGGAABVGAGGCUAGCCGCCUAUUCAUAUUGUUCURUUCGAAC